AAGUGAUUGUUACCUUUCAAAAAAAAAAGUCACAUGUCUGUAACCAAGAAAAUAAAAAGAGAUAAAAAGAGCAAAUUCCUGUGUCCAUAUGUGGAUACAGCUAAGGGGACAUCACACACCACUAUGGUGCCUGCUGCAAACAUGUAAUUCACAACCAAAACCAAUGUGAAAUGAGUGUGAGCAACAAAUGCUUAUUGUUAGAUGCCACUGAGGUUUUUGGAGGUUUUUUACUUAGCAUUAUUGUAGUAAUAGAAAGCAGAUGAACCAGAGCCAGCACGUUUUACAAAGAUCUUACGCUUCUGCCAGUAGCAACCAUUUGCUAUGUUUCUUUCUUUUUCUUUUCAGAGCCUUCCUACAUAGAGUCAGUGAAAGAAUCAGUGAUUAUGCUUUUUAUAAAAAUUCUCCUGGGAAGUGGUGAGGAGGCAUUUUUGCUAAGGUUUCACCUCCUCCCUCCUUCUCCAUGUACCAUCCACUCACCUUAUUGGGUAAAACUGCAUCAAUUUCCUCCUGCAGUUUCUGCUGGACAUCAGGGUGAGUGGCCAGUUCAUACAUAAUGAAGGAGAGAACACUGCUCGUGGUUUCAUAGCCAGCAAAAAUAAAGAUAAUUGAUUGGGCCACGAGCUCCAGAUCGGACAGAGCUGAAAGGAGAGGAAAGACAUUUUAGGUAAAUCAGAUCAAUGUAGGGCAUCACAGUUUAGAUGAAGAGAAAUCUAAGUGAAGCCCUCAAAUCCCUAAGGGAAAAGAAUAGAAAAGCAAUUCAGAGGUACACUGGGGGUGGUUUCAUUCUGAUGUGUAUCUUACAGAACCAGAAUAAGGCAAAUCAUUUUAAUCCAGUUUUCCCCAAGGUCUUCGAGAAUGUGGGCCAUCCACUCCUCCUCAUGCCACCCCCGCCACCUGCACAGCUGUGUAAUUUCCAGAGAGAGCAUUUCCGCAUAACAUACUCAGUGUUAUGGGUGUGUUCCUUGAAUGAUCCUAAAAGUACUUUAUUGUAAGUUAAUAUGAGGUAGUACUCUCCCCCAAGAAAAAUGUAAUUUAUUUUAGCUACAAUAUAUCUUGACAAACUUUGAGAGAAUUUGCAACACUAAUGGUUAAAUGUAGGGAAAAUCAAAGGACGUUUCCCGAAGAUAUGUUUGAGGGAACUUAAGGGACCAAUAUUGGUCUACAGACCACUUCUUGGUAUUCAAAGUGUGGUCCAUGGGUCAGAAGCAUCUGAGAGCUCAUUAGAAAUGCAAAAUCUCAAACCCCACCCUUGAACUACUGAUUCAAAAUCUGAACUUUCACAAGAUGCAGUGAUUUGUGUGCAUAGCCUAGCUUGAGAAGCACGGAUUAUAUCUUUGAGAGGCAUCAGGUGAUAGAUCUAGGCUACAGUUCUCAGAAUUGACUAUCUCAGGAUGUACAAGAAUGAGAGAUGGACAAAAAGCUAGAUGAGUGGUAAUUGAUUGUAGUCUGAUGGAUGGCAUUAAAAUAGCAUAAGCUCCUAUGAUUACAAGUUGGGCCCCUCUUGAUUUUUCUCCUGAGAGAAGCUCAGGAUGGUCCAUCACUGGUCUGUUUGAUCAGGACUGGAUUAGGACCUUUAGAGACCUGGAACAUAGAAAUAAAUAUAAUGCCUGCUCCAACCAUGUAAUUCACAACCAAAACCAAUAUGAAAGGAGUGUGAGAAAGGUCGACAGAGCUGUGAUUUACCAGUGAAGACUUCUGUGAUGCAGUUAUAAGUAAAUUCAACUACCUAAUCAUAGUAUUCAGUUAUCAUGAACCUGAUGAUACUGAUGUGAAAUUGAACUAUAAUCUCAAAGUUUAGAGCUCUGCUGUCCAAUAUGGUAGCCACUACCCACUAGUGGCUAUUUAAAAUCAAAUUUUAUUAAAUUAAACUGAAAUACCAUUUAAAAUUGAUCUUCAAUGGCACUAGCCACAUAUCCAGUGCUCAAUAGCCAUAUGUGUCUAGUGAUUUCUAUAUGAAACAGUAAAACAAUAGACUAUUUCCUUUAUCACAGCAAGUUAUAUUGGGAUAGAUAGAUGAAUAGUUAGAUGAUAGAUAGAUAAUAUAUAAGUAGAUAGAUGAUAGAUGGAUAAAUGAUAGAUGAUAGA
rnacentral:lncRNA from 1 species